rnacentral:rRNA from 1 species
GACGAACGCUGGCGGCGUGCCUAAUACAUGCAAGUAGAACGCUGAAGAGAGGAGCUUGCUCUUCUUGGAUGAGUUGCGAACGGGUGAGUAACGCGUAGGUAACCUGCCUGGUAGCGGGGGAUAACUAUUGGAAACGAUAGCUAAUACCGCAUAAAAUUGAUUAUUGCAUGAUAAUUAAUUGAAAGAUGCAACUGCAUCACUACCAGAUGGACCUGCGUUGUAUUAGCUAGUUGGUGAGGUAACGGCUCACCAAGGCGACGAUACAUAGCCGACCUGAGAGGGUGAUCGGCCACACUGGGACUGAGACACGGCCCAGACUCCUACGGGAGGCAGCAGUAGGGAAUCUUCGGCAAUGGGGGGAACCCUGACCGAGCAACGCCGCGUGAGUGAAGAAGGUUUUCGGAUCGUAAAGCUCUGUUGUAAGAGAAGAACGGGUGUGAGAGUGGAAAGUUCACACUGUGACGGUACCUGACCAGAAAGGGACGGCUAACUACGUG